UGAGUAGGCGGUUAUGUAUGUCAGAUGUAAAAGGCACAGGCUUAACUUGUGUUAGCAUUUGAAACUGCAUAACUUGAGUGCAGGAGAGGUAAGUGGAAUUCCUAGUGUAGCGGUGAAAUGCGUAGAUAUUAGGAGGAACACCAGUGGCGAAGGCGACUUACUGGACUGUAACUGACGCUGAGUCACGAAAGCGUGGGUAGCAAACAG
rnacentral:rRNA from 1 species